GCGAACGCUGGCGGCGUGCUUAACACAUGCAAGUCGCACGGAAAGGCCCUGCUUUUGUGGGGUGCUCGAGUGGCGAACGGGUUAGUAACACGUUAGCAACCUGCCCUUGACUUUGGGAUAACUUCAGGAAACUUGGGCUAAUACCGGAUAGGAGCUCCUGCUGCAUUUUGGGUGUUGGAUAGUUUCGGCGGUUGGGGAUGGACUCGCGGCUUAUCAGCUUGUUGGUGGGGUAGUGGCUUACCAAGGCUUUGACGGGUAGCCGGCCUGAGAGGGUUACCGGCCACAUUGGGACUGAGAUACGGAGCAGACUGCUACGGGAGGCAGCAGUGGGGAAUAUUGCACAAUGGGCGGAAGCCUGAUGCAGCAACGCCGCGUGCGGGAUGACGGCCUUCGGGUUGUAAACCGCUUUCGCCUGUGACGAAGCGUGAGUGACGGUAAUGGGUAAAGAAGCACCGGCUAACUACGUG
rnacentral:rRNA from 1 species